AUAUCAAUAAGCGGAGGAAAAGAAACUAACAAGGAUUCCCCUAGUAACUGCGAGUGAAGCGGGAAAAGCUCAAAUUUAAAAUCUGGCGGCUUUUGGCUGUCCGAGUUGUAGUCUGGAGAAGUGCUUUCCGCGCUGGACCGUGUACAAGUCUCUUGGAACAGAGCGUCAUAGAGGGUGAGAAUCCCGUCUUUGACACGGACUACCAGUGCUUUGUGAUGCGCUCUCAAAGAGUCGAGUUGUUUGGGAAUGCAGCUCAAAAUGGGUGGUAAAUUCCAUCUAAAGCUAAAUAUUGGCGAGAGACCGAUAGCGAACAAGUACCGUGAGGGAAAGAUGAAAAGCACUUUGGAAAGAGAGUUAAACAGUACGUGAAAUUGCUGAAAGGGAAACGCUUGAAGUCAGUCGCGUUGUCCAGAACUCAGCCUUGCUUUUGCUUGGUGCACUUUCUGGUUGACGGGCCAGCAUCAAUUUURAUUGUUGGAUAAAGGCUGGGGGAAUGUGGCACCUUCGGGUGUGUUAUAGCCCUCGGUCACAUACAACAGUUGGGAUUGAGGAUCUCAGCACGCCUUUAUGGUCGGGGUUCGCCCACGUUCGUGCUUAGGAUGCUGGCAUAAUGGCUUUAAACGACCCGUCUUGAAACACGGACCAAGGAGUCUAACAUGCCUGCGAGUGUUUGGGUGGAAAACCCGAGCGCGUAAUGAAAGUGAAAGUUGAGAUCCCUGUCAUGGGGAGCAUCGACGCCCGGACCUGACCUUCUGUGACGGCUCCGCGGUAGAGCAUGUAUGUUGGGACCCGAAAGAUGGUGAACUAUGCCUGAAUAGGGUGAAGCCAGAGGAAACUCUGGUGGAGGCUCGUAGCGAUUCUGACGUGCAAAUCGAUCGUCAAAUUUGGGUAUAGGGGCGAAAGACUAAUCGAACCAUCUAGUAGCUGGU
rnacentral:rRNA from 1 species